GAAAUGCGAUAAGUAAUGUGAAUUGCAGAAUCCCGUGAACCAUCGAGUCUUUGAACGCAAGUUGCGCCCGAAGCCCUCGUGGCCAGGGCACGUCUGUCUGGGCGUCACGCACCGCGUCGCCCCCACCCCCCGCCUUCCGGAGGGGGGUGGGGGCGGAGACUGGCCCCCCGUGUGCCCCGAGGCACGCGGCCGGCCCAAACGCAGACCCCGCGGCCGCUGGACGGCGCGACGAUCGGUGGAGUAGGCCCUACGCAUCCC
rnacentral:misc_RNA from 1 species